rnacentral:lncRNA from 1 species
CAAGCAGCACCUCAGGAACCUUCUCACCCACGAUGACCCUACCAACUUCCAGGGUCAGGGCUUUCAAGAACGACUGGCUGAGGGCCGCAGGCUGGUGGAGCGCCUUGCCCGAAAGCUCAGCCCAGAAAAUCAUGCAGAGGAGGAGAACAAAGAAGAAAAAGCAUCAAUGGACCCCAGCCUGAGCACAGAGCUACAGGAAAAAGAGAGUGUCAAUGAAGCCCUGAAGGGGUCACUGGAUGAAGGCCCUGUGACUUCUUCCAGUAACCAGUACCCAUCUGAUUCCCAUGAGCCUCCCAGCACCAAUGUUUUCUUGUCUGAGGAGCACGAAGACUUCUCUGCUCUGGUUGCAGCUACUGAGAACUCACAUCAACAGGAGAAGAAAGCUCCAACAGGUCUCCCAGGUAGUGUCCAUAUUCAUGUUCCCCACGUCCAUGUCCGGGUCAAGAUAUGUCAUCUCUUCAGUCUGGCCCUAGAGACUUAACUUGGUUUGAAUCAGAAUCUAGGACUCAGUUUUAAGCACACACAUCAGGUGGGUCAGGUAGUUCAACACUCUUCCGAGUCCCAGGCCAAAUCUCUGUCCUCCCCGUUACCAUGCCUGCUCCGCUCCAAACAGCAG